rnacentral:rRNA from 1 species
UCCGUAGGGUGCGAGCGUUAAUCGGAAUUACUGGGCGUAAAGCGUGCGCAGGCGGUUUUGUAAGUCAGAUGUGAAAUCCCCGGGCUUAACCUGGGAAUGGCAUUUGGGACUGCAAGGCUUGAGUGCGGCAGAGGAGACUGGAAUUCCUGGUGUAGCAGUGAAAUGCGUAGAUAUCAGGAGGAACACCGGUGGCGAAGGCGGGUCUCUGGGCCGAAACUGACGCUGAGGAGCGAAAGCGUGGGGAGCGAACAGG